rnacentral:rRNA from 1 species
GUCCGUUUGGAGAUAUAAACGGUCUGACCUGCUCACUGAUAAAAUUAUUUAAGAGCCGCGGUAUUUUGACCGUGCAAAGGUAGCGUAAUCAUUAGAGGCUUAAUUGGAAUCUGGUAUGAAGGGUUGGACGAAGAAAAAACUGUCUUUAUAAAUAAAAAUUGAAAUUUACUUUCAAGUGAAAAGGCUUGAAUAUAUCAAAAAGACGAUAAGACCCUAUAAAGCUUAAUAGGUAACUCAAAUUUGGUUAAUUUAAAUAUAAAAGCUAAGUUAGAUUAUCCUAUUUUAUUGGGGUGAUAUGAAUAUAAAUAUAGUUAACUGUUUAAUUGUAAUACUGUCAUGGUAGAGUUGUAAUGAAUGAUCCUUUUUAGAGAUUAGAAGAUCAAGUUACUUUAGGGAUAACAGCGUUAUUUCUUUUGAGAGUUCAUAUCGAAAAAGAAGAUUGCGACCUCGAUGUUGAAUUAAAAUGUCUUUAUUACGCAGCUGUAAUAGAAGAAAGUCUGUUCGACUUUUAAAUUUUU